rnacentral:rRNA from 1 species
UACGAAGGGGGCUAGCGUUGUUCGGAAUUACUGGGCGUAAAGCGCGCGCAGGCGGUUCUCCAAGUCAGUGGUGAAAGCCCGGAGCUCAACUCCGGAAUUGCCAUUGAAACUGUUGAACUUGAGGAUGAGAGAGGUGAGUGGAAUUCCCAGUGUAGAGGUGAAAUUCGUAGAUAUUGGGAAGAACACCGGUGGCGAAGGCGGCUCACUGGCUCAUUACUGACGCUCAGGCGCGAUAGCGUGGGGAUCAAACAGG